rnacentral:misc_RNA from 1 species
GCAUUAUAAAAAUAUGCUUCCAUCCAAGCAUACCAAGGUAUCACCCAUAGGUAUUCCUAUUAUCAGUAAAGUUUUUGUCAAGUGACAUGAAUUAUGCAGCCCACUCACCCAAACGAGGGAUAACAGGGAAUAAAAAAAUGGGAAAAGGAAGAAGAGAGAAUAGAGAAAAAUGCUCCAGGGAAAAAAACAUUCCACACAUCCAUAAGUUGCUGCCCACCUCCAAACAAUUCAAUGGUCAUAA